AGGUCAUUUCAAAGAGGGCUUGCAGGACUGUGAUGCCAGGAGCUCUUAACACUGUCGCCAAAGACCGAAGUUCUCCAUAGGAUGUCAUAGUCACUCAAUAGCGCUGUGUGUUCCUGAAGAGACAUAGCC
rfam:Myotis davidii contig114819, whole genome shotgun sequence.